GAGAGUGUAGCUCAAGUGGUAGAGUGCGUGCUUAGCAUGCACAAGGUCCUGGGUUCAAUCCCCAAUACCUUCC
rnacentral:tRNA from 1 species